UACGUAGGGCGCAAGCGUUGUCCGGAAUUAUUGGGCGUAAAGAGCUCGUAGGCGGCUUGUCACGUCGGGUGUGAAAGCCCGGGGCUUAACCCCGGGUCUGCAUUCGAUACGGGCUAGCUAGAGUGUGGUAGGGGAGAUCGGAAUUCCUGGUGUAGCGGUGAAAUGCGCAGAUAUCAGGAGGAACACCGGUGGCGAAGGCGGGUCUCUGGGCCAUUACUGACGCUGAGGAGCGAAAGCGUGGGGAGCGAACAGG
rnacentral:rRNA from 1 species